rnacentral:tRNA from 1 species
GGGGGUGUAGCUCAACCUGGGAGAGCGUCCGCCUCCAGAACAAUUACUGGAGGAAUGAAAACCUGUUAGAUUAUACAGGUUUGAUGAUUAAUCCUAGAUUGGAGAUAGCGGAAGGUUGCAUGUUCAAAUCAUGCCGCCCCCA